UACGAAGGGGGCUAGCGUUGUUCGGAAUCACUGGGCGUAAAGCGCACGCAGGCGGAUCGUUAAGUCAGGGGUGAAAUCCCGAGGCUCAACCUCGGAACUGCCUUUGAUACUGGCAAUCCUCGAGUCCGGGAGAGGUGAGUGGAACUCCGAGUGUAGAGGUGAAAUUCGUAGAUAUUCGGAAGAACACCAGUGGCGAAGGCGGCUCACUGGCCCGGUACUGACGCUCAGGUGCGAAAGCGUGGGGAGCAAACAGG
rnacentral:rRNA from 1 species